rnacentral:misc_RNA from 1 species
CUGCUUUAUGGAUUGUAUAAAAAAUAUCGGAUGCUGAUGAUACUGAACACUGGCCCAUGAUAAUUAAUUAUCGUGCACUAAACGACAAAAACAAGUAUCCACUAUCUCAAAUUACCGAAACUCUGGACCAACUAAGAGGAGUAAAGUAUUUCUCAAUCUUUAAUCUGUCUACUCUUCAUCUCUACAGAAAGUGAAAAUUUAAAGAUUGUUGAAUCAUCUCAAAAAUCGCGGAUUUACUUUCUGAACCAAUAUAAGUGAAUUUCUGCGUAAAGAAAUUACAUACUUAAGGCAUAAUUUCUGCCGACAGUCUCAAACCAGGUCCAAGGAAACUUCAUGCGGUAGAAAAAAUUUUCUUACUCCAAAGUCAGAAUCCAACAAUCCAGAAUCCAAGGACAUCUAAUAAUUCUUACGAUUGACAAGGAUCACAUAUUAUCGUAGUUAUCAGAGACUAUUUU